AACGAACGCUGGCGGCAGGCUUAACACAUGCAAGUCGAACGCCCCGCAAGGGGAGUGGCAGACGGGUGAGUAACACGUGGGAACAUACCCUUCGGUUCGGAACAACGUUUGGAAACGGACGCUAAUACCGGAUACGGCAGAGAUGCGAAAGAUUCAUCGCCGAAGGAUUGGCCCGCGUUCGAUUAGCUUGAUGGUGAGGUAACGGCUCACCAUGGCGACGAUCGAUAGCUGGUCUGAGAGGAUGGCCAGCCACAUUGGGACUGAGACACGGCCCAAACUCCUACGGGAGGCAGCAGUGGGGAAUAUUGGACAAUGGGCGCAAGCCUGAUCCAGCCAUGCCGCGUGAGUGAUGACGGCCUUAGGGUUGUAAAGCUCUUUCGCACGCGACGAUAAUGACGGUAGCGUGAGAAGAAGCCCCGGCUAACUUCGUGCCAGCCGCCGCCGUAACAC
rnacentral:rRNA from 1 species